rnacentral:rRNA from 1 species
AGCCCUUUACUGACGCUAAAGCUCGAAGGUGCGGGUAUCGAACAGGAUUAGAUACCCUGGUAGUCCGCACGGUAAACGAUGGAUGCCCGCUGUAUGCGAUACAAUGUAUGCGGCCAAGCGAAAGCGUUAAGCAUCCCACCUGGGGAGUACGCCGGCAACGGUGAAACUCAAAGGAAUUGACGGGGGCCCGCACAAGCGGAGGAACAUGUGGUUUAAUUCGAUGAUACGCGAGGAACCUUACCCGGGCUUGAACUGCAGCAGAACGAUUCAGAGAUGAUGAGGCCCUUCGGGGCUGCUGUGGAGGUGCUGCAUGGUUGUCGUCAGCUCGUGCCGUGAGGUGUCGGCUUAAGUGCCAUAACGAGCGCAACCCCUUUCGCCAGUUGCCAUCAGGUGAUGCUGGGCACUCCGGCGACACUGCCACCGCAAGGUGUGAGGAAGGUGGGGAUGACGUCAAAUCAGCACGGCCCUUACGUCCGGGGCUACACACGUGUUACAAUGGGUGGUACAGAGAGUCAGGCGUUGGCAACACCGCCUUAAUCCAUAAAGCCAUCCUCAGUUCGGAUUGGGGUCUGCAACCCGACCCCAUGAAGCUGGAUUCGC